UUAGCCGCAAUUCUUAAGAUAAAACAGUGUACGGGUUGUAGCGUGGAAUCCCAAGAAGUGCUAGAUGCUGAAAUUUCAGCUCGGGUUCUCCAGUUGAUCAACGUAACUGACAGUGGAGUACACAGUCAGUGACAGUGCUUCUUCGUUCCCAUCUCCGGUGACGGCGCUGCUUUCAGCCUCUCUCUGGUGACGGUGUAGCGUAACACUUCUCCAUCGACCGUGC